CACCUGCCUCCCACUCCCAACCACACAUUCUCUCUCCUCUCCUCUCCUCUCCUGUGUCUCCCUGGCUCUCUCUCUCAUUGUCAUUUACAUACACGCAACUGGAAUAAUCAACCAGUGUUGUCUUUCAUUCCUCUCUCUCUCUCUCUCUCAUUCUUAAUCCUUCUAUUUCUCCUCUUGCAAUAACAAUACAAGGUAUAGUAGUAUUCAAGACAAAUAAUAUUGGAGUUACAACGUGGUCCGGUCCUCAUCCUUUCUACUUUUUAAAUUUAUACACACUACCUAAGUCUAUGUUUGUGUCAGAUACUAGGCUGAAUAUUUCUAAAAAAGAUGACGAUAUUCAAGAUCAAGCAGAAAAUAGACCGCACCUCACUUCCACCAGCAACCACUGCAUCAAGAAGAAGAAGAAGAAUAAGUUUAUGGUGACCAAUAAGAAGAAGAAGAAGAAGAAGAAAGAUGUUUCUUUCAGAGAAAGUUACAGUACUAGUGAUCAUCGAUCAUCCGGUGGUGAUGGUGGUGGUGGUGGAAACAUUGAUUUCAACAAGCCAACCAAAGUGCUCUUCUUUCCAUUUAAUAACCCCAACAAAUUUUUCUAUAAAAAAAGCUCCCCUUUUUCUCCAUCUUCUUCUUCUUCAAGUACUGCCGCUGUUUCUGGCAAUGCUUGUUUUCCAGGUAAGAUUAGUAGACCUAUUUUCUUUUGUUUUAAGCAGCCCCCUACUUUGGAAUCUUCUUCAACAUCAGCCACCCUCCAGUCUCAAACAAGCGACCCCAAUAAUCCUAACUUCACUUUCGACCGGUUGAAAUCUUUGAUUGAAAACAAUGAUUUCUUUUCCAAACAAUGCAACCCCCACUCUUUAUAACAUACUUCUACUUUCUGAUUCCACCUACCUCAUCAUUUUAUGUUCAUCCAUCUUGUCACCCAACACCACCACCACUACUGUUACUACUACUGUUUUCAUCUUCUUUACCCGCUAGCUUCUAAAAGACUGCAGAUUGAUCAUAUGGGUCCACCUCUUUUGUGACACUCUUUUAAAAGCUUUGCUCUUUGAUUUCAUUCACUGGCAAUUCUGCUGUGCCUUAAGAAUAUAUAUUAAUCUCCUUUCUUAUUCUUGAGUUUUCCCUCAAAGGUCCAGAGUAUACUCUGCUUGCCAUCAACUUGAACAAAUUACUAUUGCUGAACUCGGUCUUGUCUGCUUCUUGCUGCUAUGCUAACUGUUUACCUCUUGGAUGGAGAAUUGGAGUUGGAAGCAGCUCUAUGAUAUAAUAUUAAGGAUGCAAAUUUCAGGCACAAUUAUUGGUGAAGGCUAGGGAGCUUCAGAAGGAUAUUGAUAUUUAGAGGGCGUGGCUUAGAGCAUUCUGGUCCUCUGCAAUACUGGAAGAGCUUUCCAACAUCUUUGUUUUUUUUUUUUUUCAAUCUCUUUAUAUACAGUGACUGAGUCAAGUAAUUUGAGUAUUACUUCUUGAUUUUUACAGCACAGUUCCAUGAUCACUCCUGAUCAAUGCCUUUGAAUUGUUAGGUUGAAUGAGUGUUAAGGUCUUUGUACGAGCGAUGGAAUUUUUGACAUGUUGAAAUCAUUGAUUGAGAAGAAUGAUUUUUAUUCCAAAGGAUACAUUAUUUUCUAAUGUAUAGACAUGAUGUUUUUCUUAUUUCUUUAAACACAACCGCUAAGUCAAGUAGUUUGAGGGUUAUUCUUGUUUCUGUGCUGACAGCGCAGUACCCCGAUAAGUCCAUCUUUGCCAUGUGCUUUUGGGUGCAUCAGUGUUGAAGGUUUUUAGUAUGAUUGAUGAACUUGAACAUGAGUACGACUUUGCUAUGUGCUUUUAGGUAUGACUCUUAGGUUCAUCUACUGUUUAUUUGGAUGUAGAUUUCAUGUACGAUUAUAUGCAUAGACUAGGUAAAUUCAGAAGGAUUCAAGCACAUGGUAGAUAUGGAAAGAGUAAUUGUGCUUCUCUUGGAUUGUAGAUUCUUGGUUUCUGUAAUUAGAUGCAAUGCCGAAAUUGCUUUUGUAUAUAUCCUGAUUGGUUACAGUAACGUGUUCAACUGGCAGCUCUUUUAUCCAAGGUAACGAGUUUCUUUCUCGAUGACGUUCAGCAUGAAAGUUGCUGGCUAGCUACCUAUACUUGAGCUUAAAUACAAGCGGAAACGAGUAGCGAGGGCCGUGUCCUUAAUUAAAUGAUCACAUCCUCUUUAAGAAUCAACAUAAAGACGGAAAAAUUUACAGAUGGAUUAAUUGUUUCCAAUGCCUGAGGCUUUCGCGAUUCUCUGCUUGUAUUCUUGGUCUUCUCAGGGGAGCUACCAUCAAUAAUCUAGUGAGGGGGGAAUUCAGUAGGAUUUAAGCAUAUGGAAGAAACGGCAAGAGUAAUUGUGCUUCAUCUGAAUUGUAAAUUUUUGUUUCAAAUGGAUUUUGGUGCAUACUUAUUGUGUGGUAAAUUAUGUUCCCCUCGAUGUCUUCUGAAUCUAGUAAAGCUUGUUUAGUAGUUUGAAUGAUACUUGAUGAUGUUCCAAAAAUUCAAUAUAUUUAGUUUUUUUAGUGUU